AACGAACGCUGGCGGCAGGCUUAACACAUGCAAGUCGAGCGCCUCGCAAGAGGAGCGGCAGACGGGUGAGUAACGCGUGGGAACCUACCCAAUGGUACGGAACAACUCAGGGAAACUUGAGCUAAUACCGUAUGUGCCCUUCGGGGGAAAGAUUGAUCGCCAUUGGAUGGGCCCGCGUCGGAUUAGCUAGUUGGUGGGGUAAUGGCCUACCAAGGCGACGGUCCGUAGCUGGUCUGAGAGGAUGAUCAGCCACACUGGGACUGAGACACGGCCCAGACUCCUACGGGGGGCAGCAGUGGGGAAUAUUGGACAAUGGGCGCAAGCCUGAUCCAGCCAUGCCGCGUGAGUGAUGAAGGCCUUAGGGUUGUAAAGCUCUUUCAGCUGGGAAAAUAAUGACGGUACCAGCAGAAGAAGCCCCGGCUAACUUCGUGCCAGCAGCCGCGGUAACAC
rnacentral:rRNA from 1 species